rnacentral:misc_RNA from 1 species
CCCUAGCCCGGAUUGCAGCAUUUGCCUGAGCUCAUUUCAUUGAUUUUUGGUUGCGGCGGCAAAGCCGCCGCAACCAAAAAUCAAUGAAAUAGCGAGUGCGGAAAGCCGGAAAAGCU